CCUUUUAAUUAUUUUUUAAAAGCAGAGUUAUAUUUGCAUCUCAGCUGUGGCCUUUUAGGGUUCCCAAGCAAGCUGAAACCUAUUGGAGUACCUCAUGUACCCGUAAGUGUGGGACAACAGUUCCAGGGGAAUAGACUUACUGUAUAGAGUUAUACAUAGUUAUCAACAGUAUUGAUACUCAUCUGUUGAAAUUGACAAUUGCUUUCACUCUGAAAUGCCGGUGUCUCUGAAAAAAUACUUUAUUCAUUACUUUUGCUUAGAGAUACUCUUUCUUAGCCAUUUAGCAGACCAAAUUCAUUAAAGGUGUGUGUUUUGUGCAAUUUUAAUCACCAGUGAAAUUCUAUUUGACUUGACAAUGUAACAGUGGGGAUUUGACUCAUAAAGAUGUAAAUUAAGAGUAAAUAGAGAAAAAAUGUUUCUUUGCAUACAUCUGAAUGUCUAUUUCCUCAUUUUAACAGAUUAAUUAAUAUUACUUCUUUAUCAUAAAUUAAUAAGUGCUUUAGGGGGAAUUCAGGGAAGAGUAACCAAAAUGAUUAGCGUACUAAAGGGCUAAUAUAUGGAGAAACGUCUGCAUAGAUACAAAUGAAAAGAGUUUGGGUAAUGACGUGUUUGGGGCCAGGGAGAUCUGCAACAUGCAAGAGUAAUAGUAGUGUUCCUGCUGAGGUGCUCACUCAUGCUAGCAAUGAUCAGUGCUUAAGGACAAUCAUAGGUUCCAGCCUAGGCUUCAGACUGGUUUUGAGUGGUUGCUUCAAGGUGUGUAAACUCUAGAGAGAAAUCAGAUUUCAGAAGCUUCACACACCUGGCCUAUUGUAUCACCUUACUCUGCAUGACUUAAUGUGCAACUGAGUAUUUGUCACUCUUCUGAGAGUCCAGAUUUUCUCAUGCAUUUCACAGCAAAUUGAAGCACUUGAUUUGGGACUUUGUAUCCUACUUUAGAGGCUAGGUCCCUGAAGUCUGCAUGUGGUAGCAUCUAGCUUACAGGUACUGUACCACUUUUUUUUUUUUUUUCCUCAUAUUACAGUCAUUCUUCCCCACAAAGAAACAUAAAAUUGUGGGGAAAAACAUCUAAAAGAGAAGAAUGUCCCCUCAGGAUCAGCAUUUGUUCACUUCAACAGCUCCCACAACCAUCCCUUCUCUUCCCUGGGUGGAAGGCUCAUCAUGUGGACUGAGUGCUGCUGAGGAACUGAAUGGUGAUCUGUUUACAUGCUUGUGGAUGAAAAGCAGAGUACAAGCCUGUUCCGGAGAUGAAGCAGCACUGAAGAGAAUUGGUGGAUGAUAACUGUAGAACUCCACUUGUUGAGAAGGUGUUUUGUGUGUCAAAAGAUCAUGGACUGCUCAUUGUCUGUGUGGCUCAUGAAGGUAACAAGAUGGGAGAACUGAAGGAACAGAGUUGUGAAGCCAUGUAUCUGCUCAAAGCCAUAAAGAAGACCAGUGACAAAUCCAGGAACAGAAACCAAGUCUCCUGAGUUGCAGCCUAAUGCCACUAAAUAUUGUGAUCAACAAGACAGUUUGCCUUCUGAUGUUAGUGAGGACCUAUGUAGCAAGUGGUGAUGAUCUCUGAGACAUUUUUAUGCAGUAAGAGCCCCUGGGUAUCCCACCUGGCCUCUCACUGCUAGUUUAAAGGUGUGAGUCUCCUGUAAGUUCCACAUCAUCUCUUCCAGCCCUGCAUGCUCCAGGGUAUUUCAGCAGACAU